rnacentral:rRNA from 1 species
AUCCAGACUCCUACGGGAGGCAGCAGUGGGGGAUAUUGCACAAUGGGGGGAACCCUGAUGCAGCGACGCCGCGUGGGUGAAGGAGCGUUUCGGCGCGUAAAGCCCUAUCGGCAGGGAAGAAGGAGGACGGUACCUGACUAAGAAGCCCCGGCUAACUACGUGCCAGCAGCCGCGGUAAUACGUAGGGGGCAAGCGUUAUCCGGAUUUACUGGGUGUAAAGGGGGCGCAGACGGCGCGCCAAGUCUGAUGUGAAACCCCGGGGCUCAACCCCGGGCAUGCAUUGGAAACUGGCGGGCUGGAGUGCCGGAGAGGUAAGCGGAAUUCCUAGUGUAGCGGUGAAAUGCGUAGAUAUUAGGAGGAACACCAGUGGCGAAGGCGGCUUACUGGACGGCAACUGACGCUGAGGCUCGAAAGCGUGGGGAGCAAACAAGAUUAGAUACCCUUGUAC